CUACUACUACUACUACUACUACUACUACUACUACUACUUUAGCUUUGGUUGAGGCCACACAAAAUCAACGUAGGUGUCGCAAAUGGGCUUUGAAAGACUCUUUGGACUAUCCUGGUUGCGGACGAUCAUGUCUUGGCCCAGCGCCUUAUGCCUGAUAAUGCUGAAAUCAUGGCGUUGGAUCUGAAGCCUCCCAGAGAUGCAAGGCGAAGAAGCGCUGAGACGUGUCACGCCAUCCACUCAUCUCCUCAUUAGCGGUCCCUCUUCUAAAGUUUCUCCUCCUGUCGCCAUUUUCUGAAGAAUUUAACACCGGCAGUGUUGCUUUAGUUCAUCGUGACCCAGCUCAACUCGGGGACAACACAUCUAAUGAUCCGUCAACACGCAGCACAUAAACA